rnacentral:rRNA from 1 species
GGACCAAGGAGUCUAGCAUGUGCGCGAGUCAUUGGGAUCUUACGAUACCUAAAGGCGCAAUGAAAGUAAAGGUUCGCCUUGCGCGGACAGAGGGAGGAUGGGUGAGGGUCCAGGCCCUCGCCCCGCACUCCCGGGGCGUCUCGUUCUCAUUGCGAGAUGAGGCGCACCAAGAGCGUACACGCUGGGACCCGAAAGAUGGUGAACUAUGCCUGGUCAGGACGAAGUCAGGGGAAACCCUGAUGGAGGUCCGUAGCGAUUCUGACGUGCAAAUCGAUCGUCGGAACUGGGUAUAGGGGCGAAAGACUAAUCGAACCAUCUAGUAGCUGGUUCCCUCCGAAGUUUCCCUCAGGAUAGCUGGUGCUCGUUUCUUACGAGUUUCAUCCGGUAAAGCGAAUGAUUAGAGGCAUUGGGGUCGAAACGGCCUCAACCUAUUCUCAAACUUUAAAUGGGUGAGAUCUCCGGCUUGCUCGAACUAUAACUGAAGCCGCGAGAAUCGAAUCAGAGUGCCAAGUGGGCCAUUUUUGGUAAGCAGAACUGGCGCUGUGGGAUGAACCAAACGCCGAGUUAAAGCGCCUAAAUCGACGCUUAUGGGAUACCAUGAAAGGCGUUGGUAACUUAAGACAUCAGGACGGUGGCCAUGGAAGUCGGA